UCAAAAUCCAGCUGGAGCAGCCCCCCCAUAAUCCGGGCUCAUAGUCACCCCCCCACCCGCGGGGGGGUCACCGCUUCGCCCCCCCGUUCCCCCCGUGUGCCACCCCCAUGCCAGGAGCUGAAGCCAUCGUCCCCGGUGCAGGAUUUGGGGGGACCCCCCAAAAAAUGGGAGUGUCCCCCCUCCAGACAAUCUCUGUCACCCCAAAUACCCCUCGGGGGAGGGGGGGUGAUGCACCACAAAGGGCCCCCCCUCUGCCGUGACCCCAAAAUGAGGAGCGGGUCCAACCCCAGCAUCACCCCCUUCCUACAAAAGAAAUGGGGGGCUCAAAUCCAGGGUAACCCCAAAGUGGGGCUCCCCCUCCCCACCUUUAUUUUAAGGGAGAAAAGCUCCGGAAUGGGUCGGAGGCUGGAACUGGGGGGAGGGGAGGAUUAUUUUUUCACACCUCCCCAACUCGUGUUUGUGUUUCCUGUGAGUCCUGUAUAAAAUAAAGGUUUAUUUAUCGCUA